rnacentral:lncRNA from 1 species
CUCUCCUCCCGAAACCAGUCUCUCCCUCUUAACUCCAUACAGUAAGCAAGGCCCGGGAAGAAGUUGGGUUUCCCUGCCAUCCUUCCUGCCCCAGCCCCUCAUCCUCAACUCACCAUCAACCCUUCCACGAUCCCAAAUCGCUCGUGGAUGACUUUGGCGAGGGGAGCCAAACAGUUGGUGGUGCAGGACGCGUUGCUGAAACAGCCAAGGUGUGCACGGACACUGUGAGCUCUGACAACCUCGCCAUGAACCCUCCUAGACCCUCAGCUCCUGCAAUAGGAAGCUGGCUGCCAAAGGCCAGGAGGGUCCCUGAAAACAGACACUGCAUUAAAGAAAAAGCUCCUGGAGGACUCCUGAAGCCUGAGGCAGCCUUGGGGCAGCAGUGGCUCAUGGUUUACAUUGGAAAGGUUUAUCAUGAGUAACCGGGUGCUUUGCUUCUGUGAUUCUUGGCCAGUGUCGGUCUGUUUCCUUUGCCAUUGAGCCUGCUCCCCUCAAUGGGGGGUUCAAUCAAUGUUUGUGGGGUUUGUUUGUUUUGAGACAGGGUCUUCCUCUGUCGCCCAGGCUGGAGUGCAGUGGUGCAAUCAGAGCUCACUGCAGCCUUGAUCUUCCUGGCUCCGGCCAUCCUCCUGCCUUGGCCUCCCGAGUAGCUGGGACUACAGGCGCACACCACCAUGCCAAGCUAAUUUUUAAAUUUUUUU